CAAACUGGAAAGUCAGGAUUUAUGACAGCAACAAAAAAAUGUGCGACUGCAAGGAUCUGAUGAGCGACGAACAAGAUGUACCCUUCCUGCAACCUAAAACUAGAAUCUGUGUCACUCCUCGUGAAGCAGUGCAAUCCAGACUUACAAUGUGACAAGGAGGAGCUCCCUAAUGGGCUCAAUGCAGAGAUGAAGGGUUUCCCCAGAACUCAGCAGAUGAGCCGGUUCUGAGUUUUUCAAGGUGGAGCAUGAAAGCCAAGACCAGGGAGGAGAAGACCGACAGCCGCUGCUUUUGUCCACAGCUGUUUGUUUUGACAGCACGCUAAAAGACAAGAGGCCUGGUGAGCCCAGAAGAAUGUCAUACAGAUUUGGAAUGGCAUGAGGGUGAGUAAAUGAUGACAAAAUGUUUUUUUUUUUUUGUUGUUGAACUAUCCCUUUAAUCUUAGACAUCCUAGAGAUUUGGAAUCCAUAUCGUUGUCUCAGAGGAAGCGUUUGUCAACACGGCACAUCGUAAUAUCUGCUGGGAAAGGCCACCCUCAGACUGAGAGCCCCCCUCUAUCAUCCAAUCACCUUCAAGUCUGGAUUAGGGGGAGCCAAUGGUUGCACACUAAAGCCAAUGGAAUCCACAUGAGUCAUAUACUAUUGCUAAUGUGCGACAGAACAGAGAUCUGAAGUGCAUCUCAGGACAAGCGGUUUCCAACUACAUAAGAAGAUAUUUUGAAGAAAGUUGGGAGCCAAACACCACUGCAUUGGAUUUCCAUUGUAUGGACAACAAAACCACUGAGACAUUUCUCAAAAUCUUCUUUUAUGUUCCACAGAAGAAAGAAAGUAAUACAAUUUUGCGAUGACAUGUUGACAUGUAAUGACAUGUAAAUGAUGGCAAUUUUCUAAUCCUUUAAGUGUACCAACUAUAAAUUGUUCUUGCAACAUUCUUCCUUCAUUAUAAUUUCAACUCCAGGCUAUCUUUGCACUGAAAUUAGCCCUGUAAUAAAA